UACAGAGGGCCCAAGCGUUGUUCGGAUUCAUUGGGCGUAAAGGGUGCGUAGGCGGCGCGGUAAGUCGGGUGUGAAAUCUUGGAGCUUAACUCCGAAACUGCAUUCGAUACUGCCGUGCUUGAGGACUGGAGAGGAGACUGGAAUUUACGGUGUAGCGGUGAAAUGCGUAGAUAUCGUAAGGAAGACCAGUGGCGAAGGCGGGUCUCUGGACAGUUCCUGACGCUGAGGCACGAAGGUCAGGGGAGCAAACGGG
rnacentral:rRNA from 1 species